UACGGAGGAUGCAAGCGUUAUCCGGAAUCAUUGGGUUUAAAGGGUGCGUAGGCGGGCAGGUAAGUCAGUGGUGAAAUCUUUGGGCUUAACCCGAAAACUGCCAUUGAUACUAUCUGUCUUGAAUAUUGUGGAGGUAAGCGGAAUAUGUCAUGUAGCGGUGAAAUGCUUAGAUAUGACAUAGAACACCGAUUGCGAAGGCAGCUGACGAAACUGUAACUGACGCUGAGGCUCGAAAGCGUGGGGAUCAAACAGG
rnacentral:rRNA from 1 species